rnacentral:lncRNA from 10 species
GGAGCACAGCAGAGGAUGCAAUGUGCCACUGUCGCGGCCAGAGCCCAUGCAGUGUAAACAUUAACAUUCUUGGAUGCACUAAGCACUGGGCUGCGGUCUACACUUGCAUUCUGAGGUGGUGGAGUCAUGGCCAAAAUUUUGGAGUACUUGGACUUUUCUCAAGAAGCGUUGCACUUCUUGUCCGGACCGGGGAUUACCGCAGAUCGCAGCCCAGAGUCUGCGGAGGCGCACCGUUUCAUCAACAGCAGGGACUGAAACUUCAGCCCAGGAGAAGCCAAGAUGGCACCGUUAUCGCACCCUGGGAAUCGAGGACCGGGAAGAACUUAAUGAUGCGAUUCCUCCCGUGAUCUCAGUGAUUGUAUCAGGCGAAAACGAGGAGGGCAAAAUACCGUCCAGAUGUAAACUAGGAGCAGCCGCACCAGCAGCACCAGCAGAAUGCCGUGGUAGUGCGGCAGGCCCUGGCCCCAUGGACAAAGAGAAACUCGUCAGUGGCAGUGGCCACGAACUCAGAAAGCCUGAGGACAGUCAGCAGCUCCUCUGGCUCUUCACUUUCACACUGGUGCAACUACAGGAGCUGAAGAACAUUUUUCAACUCGUUCCAUACCCGGACGUGUUAGAUGGAGUCUCCCUCUGUCGCCCAGGCUGGAGUGCAGUGGCGCGAUCUCGGCUCACUGCAACCUCCACCUCCCGGUUUUAUGCGAUUCUCCUGCCUCAGCCUCCCGAGUAGCUGGGACUACAGUGGCCUCAGGGAUAUGGAAUUAAGAUCCACCUGGUGUGAUGAAUAAACCCAGACUCUCAGCAACGCAGGAAAAAAAAAACAAAAACUGGCUGGCGAUCUGGAGUAAAGGAUCCUCACAUCCACGUGAACCAGGAAACUCUGUGCCCAAAUCGACGAAAAAAAAACACUGGGAGAGCCGGUAAAGUAUUUCCUUGGGGUGGUUAAAAAGAGGUGAGAAAUCCCCAUUGGGGGGGUUAAACCUUAAAAAGAGGUAAGAAAUCCCCAUUGUAGGGGUUGAACCUCAAAAAGAGGUGAGAAAUCCCCAUUGGGGGAUUGAACCUCAAAGAGGUGAGAAAUCCCCAUUGUGGGGGUUGAAUCUCACACAAACCUCCGGUAGUAAAUAUAUAUUCAAAACUCCCCUUUCCUCUCUUCUCAGGAAAAGAAAAAGGCUAAGCUCCACUCCCACCAGUUGCUCCCCUAGGGGAAGGGGAAGGAGAGGGGGGAAAACAGCAGCAUAGGUGGCUGGCAGAGGCGAAGUCCAGCAGGGAGGAAAAAGAAACCAGGAAAGGAAGUCAGAGAGAAAGAGCAAAAACAGCAAGCGUGACACCAGACAGGCGCACCAAGGGUUAAGUCCCUCUCCCCAGCCCAGCUCUAUGUGAAAAAGAGGGUGGGGAACGGCGCCAGGAGGAGAGCAGAGGAGGUGAAAGGGCAUAAUUAUUGCAACUUGCAGCAGGCAUCUGCCAAGCCUCUGGGCCAGUGAUGGCCCGGGGUCUGGACUGCAGCCCCACAAAUCCCACCCAGCCCAAGAAACUGAGUGUAAGAAGAAAGGAAAAAAGUAAAAAGGGAAAUUGGGAAAAGAAAAAAAAAGCAGAUGAAACAGACGGCAGUGUGUGUGUGGGGGCGGGACCCAUGCCAUUGCCCGGCCUUGCCGGCCGGCAGGAGCAGGAGAACUUGGGAGGGAAAAAGGAACAAGGGAUGACGGAGAGAGAGAGAAAAAAAGAGAGUGCAAAUGAGAGAGAGAAAUAGAGGGAAAGAAUAAGUAAGAGACAGAAAUCAAAGAAAGACAGAGGGUGAAACUAGGAAAAGAAAUAGUGUAAAAGGAAGGCAGAAAGUUAAGACAUGUUGAAGAUUGUCUGUGAAAGUCGUAAGAAAGGUUAUAAAGGGAAUUUAUGCAAGAAAUAUUGUAUAAUUUAAAAGUAAUUAGGCCUCCUGAAUGUAAAACUAUUAAAAAAACAGUUUAUGUACAAAGUAUGUAAGAAAAAUAAAAUAUACUUUUAAUAAAAGGAUUAUAAGGAGGCAUAAGAAUAUGGAUUUUUACCUACAUUAAAAGGUUUAAAAAUUUUUGUUUUAAAGGUUUAAGCAAGUUUUAACAUGUUAAUUGUAAAGGAAAUUCUGUGUGUAAACAUUUUGGCUAAAGGUAAAGGGUUUAUCAUCCAGUUUUGCUGUGAACUGAACAUUAAAAUAAAACCACAAUAGUUUAUUCUUAAAGCACUAACCUGCUCUUUAACAAAAAAUUUAACAUGUUAAAAAGAGUCUAUAAAAAUCUUACCUUAUAGUCAGACAUUAAAAUUGGAUAAUAUCUACAAGAUUUUAUUAAAAUUAAGUUUAACAUUAAUAGCACAUUAAUAUAAAGGUAAAAUUUAACUUACCUGGUACAAAAUCAUACAAAAAGCAUUGUCAAAUAUAAAAUGGUGUUUAGCUUUCUUAAGGUCCGAGGGCAGCUGGGUAAGUCACAAGCUCCUCAUCCCCAAGGCCACAAUGUGCAGGGGAGAUGAAGGCCACUAGAAGGCCAAGACCUUAAGAGGGGGCAGGGCUGCAGCAUCCUGUGAGUGGUGCUGAGCAGGAAUGGAGUGGGAGGCAUCACCAUGGGACCUCAAGCCCCAGAAUAUGCAGCAAAAAUUAUAUACUUUUUAUCUUCCACUUUCCCUUCCCUCAGAACUAAAAGUCUUUUAGCACGGGUACCAGCCCUAGAAUUUCCAGUACACCAGCAGCAGCCUGGAAACCACAUCCUCAUCAAAAGACAGAAAGAAAAAAACUCGAGCCAGCCUGAGAAGGACCCUAUUUUAUGCUGUUAACCACUGAGACUGCCAUCCUCACAGCUGAGAAAGGAUGGACCCACCAUACUCAAGUCAAGAAAACAUCUUCCUCGUCAGAAUCAUGGGUUACUGUACUAGGAUUAAGCCUUACUAAGUUAAAGUUAAAGAAAGCUUAAUUUUCAUAUACCUUCUAUAUUGCUUCUUUUCCUUUCCUUAUUCUGUUACUAGCUCCUUUGUUAUUAAUGUAACUAAGUCUGAGUCACCUCAGACCAUUGCCUUUUAUGCUUGCUCUGUCAUACCUUGUGGAAAUGUAAAAGAUCAAUGACAGCUAGCCUUUUCACACAAUUAUUUAUGCCUCGGCCCUCUAAUUGACACAGUUACCCCUAGCACUCAUCGUUGUGAUCACCUGCAGCCAAGACGCUGAUUUUCUGCUCCUAUAGCCUGGCAACCUUGUGGUACAUGGGACUACGUCCUUUAAACUACCCAGGAGCAAAGUUGGACUUCCAUGAAAAAGGUUUGUGCAGAUCUAAAACCUCUCAUCUAUUUCACUAAAAGGACUUCCCCUUCUAACUGUCACCCUUACCAAUGUAACCCUGUCCUCUCUAUCACCACCUCCACCUGUCUUUAACUAACUCUAGACCUGUCCUUAAUUGCUUUUAUGGUAUUGGAAUAGGAAUUAAAAGAAAUUAAAGAAUGUGUAAGGAGAAACUCAGUUGUAUGUAAGAAAACCCAAUUCCCCCUGAGAAAGAGAAAGAGUUGGAGUCCUUUAAAAAUUAACUGCCUGUUUUUCUGUGGCUAGUGAGCCUUAUCUCUCCUCCUUUCCCAGACAUUGUGAAGACCCUGUUUCUCUAGCUGUGCAGCUGCAAGGUCACUAGACAGAUAAACUCAAGUUGUAAAACAUGUUUUUCCUUGAAAAGUAAGAAAUGCUGUAAUGCAUUUCUCAAUUAAUUAAAUAACUGUCUUUGUUUCUCGCUUCUGUAAUAUGCUUCCCCCUGCACAGAUCUCCACCCACCCUACAAAAUGCUUAAAAGGUAACUUAACUCUUUGUUCUGGGCUCAGUCCUUUGGGCUGAGUACUGGGCCGGUGCACCUAAAUAAUAAAUAUCUUCCUGAACCCCAUUUGUCU